GACGAACGCUGGCGGCGUGCUUAACACAUGCAAGUCGAACGGAAAGGCCCUGCUUUUGUGGGGUGCUCGAGUGGCGAACGGGUGAGUAACACGUGAGUAACCUGCCCUUGACUUUGGGAUAACUUCAGGAAACUGGGGCUAAUACCGGAUAGGAGCUCCUGCUGCAUGGUGGGGGUUGGUAAGUUUCGGCGGUUGGGGAUAGACUCGCGGCUUAUCGGCUUGUUGGUGAGGUUGUGGCUUAACAAGGCUUUGAAGGGUAGCCGGCAUGAGCGGGUGACCGGCGACAUUGGGACUGAGAUACGGCGCAGAAUCCUACGGGAGGCAGCAGGGGGGAAUCUUGCGCAAUGGGCGGAAGCGUGAUGCAGAAAUGCCGCGUGCGGGAUGACGGGUUUCGGGUUGUAAACCGCUUUCGACUGUGACGAAGAGUGAGUGACGGUACCGGGUAAAGAAGCAACGGCUAACUACGUG
rnacentral:rRNA from 1 species